UGGGGCAUCCACAGCUUCUCUGGGCAGCCUGUGCCAGCGCCCCGUGAGCAGCGCUCAGGCAGCCCCACCUUUACACACGUUAAUUUGCCUUCUGCCGGAGGACAAGGGAGCUCGCAACCCCCCCCGGAACCCAGCGCUCGGGGCCAGGAGUGACGCCCGGAGCCGCCCGGUCAUAAUCUUCUUGUGCCUUGAGGAUACGUUUACUGCUAAGAAACAGCACUUCUUCAUUCCUGAAGUGAUAACAUCUCUUCAAGUACCAGACCAUGGACUAGAGUUUUACUUUGAGCAACGUUAUUGGCAAGUACGGUCUUGCCUUUCCUCGUCAUUUCCCCAGCUGCCAAAUGUCACUCAGGUGUGUGACCUUCAAAUUAUUUCUGUUCAGACACAUUGCUUGUAUGGAUUCUCUUUCCUACCAGACAAUCCAUCUGUGUAAUUGUUCCCUUUUAGACUGGCCACCAUCAUCCAUUGUUCUCCAGGAAACAGAAACUGCCGUUGCCCUUGGGGAGAUGGCGACUGGCUAUACUGUGAGGCUUCAUAAAACACAGACCCCGUUGGGAACAAUGGAGAAGAGCCUUCUCAGCGUGGCUACCAGCUGAGGCCUGCCACAGCUCACUGCUGGUCCACAGCAGUGGGGAGUGGCAACCAUACUGAAAGAGGCCAUGGGCCACUGAGCAGCCUCCAGGCCCUGCUGUGGGGGAAAUGGAUUACAUGCAACAGGAGAAAAAAAAGCAAACAAACCAAUAAAAACAAACAAAUGA